CGCGGCGACGCCUGCGGUUCGCCGCCGGUGUUGUUGUGAGAAGUUCAUUAAACCUUAUCAUUUAGAGGAAGGAGAAGUCGUAACAAGGUUUCCGUAGGUGAACCUGCGGAAGGAUCAUUG
rnacentral:rRNA from 4 species